AUUGAACGCUGGCGGCAGGCCUAACACAUGCAAGUCGAACGAGUGGCGGACGGGUGAGUAAUGUCAGGGUAACUGCCUGAUGGAGGGGGAUAACUACCGGAAACGGUAGCUAAUACCGCAUACCUUCCGAUGUGCUCAGAUGGGAUUAGCUAGUUGGUGGGGUAACGCCUCACCAAGGCGACGAUCCCUAGCUGGUGUGAGAGGAUGACCCGGCAAACGGGGAGUGAGAAACGGUCCAGACUCCGACGGGAAGCGGCAGGUGGGGAUAUUGCACAGUGGACGGAAAGCUGAUGCAGCCAAGCCGCGUGUAUGAAGGAGGCCUUCGAGUUGUAAAGUACUUUCAGCGGGGAAGCGUUACCCGAAGAAGAAGCACAGGCUAACUCCGUGCCAGCAGCCGCGGUAAUAC
rnacentral:rRNA from 1 species